GGGGAGUACGNCCGCAAGGUUGAAACUCAGAGGAAUUGACGGGGGCCCGCNCAAGCGGUGGAGCAUGUGGUUUAAUUCGAAGCAACGCGAAGAACCUUNCCAGGUCNUGACAUCCCUNUGAUCGCUCUAGAGAUAGAGUUUUCCUUCGGGACAGAGGUGACAGGUGGNGCAUGGUUGUCGUCAGCUCGUGUCGUGAGAUGUUGGGUUAAGUCCCGCAACGAGCGCNNCCCCUAUNGUUAGUNGCCAUCAUUUAGUUGGGCACUCUAGCGAGACUGCCGGUAAUAAACCGGAGGAAGGUGGGGAUGACGUCAAAUCAUCNNNCCCCUUAUGACCUGGGCUACNCACGUGCUACAAUGGCUGGUACAACGAGUCGCAAGCCGGUGACGGCNAGCUAAU
rnacentral:rRNA from 1 species